UACGUAGGUGGCAAGCGUUGUUCGGAAUUAUUGGGCGUAAAGGGCGCGUAGGCGGUCUUGUAAGUCAGCUGUGAAAGCCCGGGGCUCAACCCCGGAGGGUCGGCUGAUACUGCAGGACUGGAGUACGGAAGAGGUAGCUGGAACUCCCGGUGUAGCGGUGAAAUGCGUAGAUAUCGGGAGGAACACCUGAGGCGAAGGCGGGCUACUGGGCCGAUACUGACGCUGAGGCGCGAAAGCCAGGGGAGCAAACGGG
rnacentral:rRNA from 1 species